GGAAGAGUGGCUGAGUGGUCGAAAGCGCCUGAUUGCUAAUUAGGUGAACGAGUCAAAUCGUUCCGCAGGUUCGAAUCCUGUCUCUUCCG
rnacentral:tRNA from 1 species